rnacentral:rRNA from 1 species
UACGUAGGGUGCAAGCGUUGUCCGGAAUUAUUGGGCGUAAAGAGCUCGUAGGCGGUCUGUCGCGUCUGCUGUGAAAACUCAGGGCUUAACCCUGAGCUUGCAGUGGGUACGGGCAGACUAGAGUGCGGUAGGGGAGACUGGAAUUCCUGGUGUAGCGGUGAAAUGCGCAGAUAUCAGGAGGGAACACCCGGUGGGCGAAGGCGGGUCUCUUGG